UACGAGGGGUGCAAGCGUUGCUCGGAAUUAUUGGGCGUAAAGGGUAGGUAGGUGGUCUCAUUUGUCUGGGGUGAAAUCCUUGGGCUUAACCCAAGAAGUGCCCUGGAAACGGUGGGACUAGAAUCUCCGAGAGGGUCGUGGAAUUCCCGGUGUAGCGGUGAAAUGCGUAGAGAUUAGGAAGAACACCAGUGGCGAAGGCGACUUACUGGACUGUAACUGACGCUGAGGCAUGAAAGCGUGGGGAGCAAACAGG
rnacentral:rRNA from 1 species